GUGGGGAAUUUUGGACAAUGGGCGCAAGCCUGAUCCAGCAAUGCCGCGUGCAGGAAGAAGGCCUUCGGGUUGUAAACUGCUUUUGUACGGAACGAAACGGUCCGGGUUAAUACCCUGGGCUAAUGACAGUACCGUAAGAAUAAGCACCGGCUAACUACGUGCCAGCAGCCGCGGUAAUACGUAGGGUGCAAGCGUUAAUCGGAAUUACUGGGCGUAAAGCGUGCGCAGGCGGUUUUGUAAGACAGGCGUGAAAUCCCCGGGCUCAACCUGGGAAUUGCGCUGGUGACUGGAAGGCUGGAGUGCGGCAGAGGGGGAUGGAAUUCCACGUGUAGCAGUGAAAUGCGUAGAGAUGUGGAGGAACACCGAUGGCGAAGGCAGCCCCCUGGGCCAAUACUGACGCUCAUGCACGAAAGCGUGGGGAGCAAACAGGAUUAGAAACCCUGGUAGUCC
rnacentral:rRNA from 1 species